CCAGCCCUCACUAUUCUCUCCUCCUUCAUCAUCUUUGUUUUUGUUUAUCACUUCUGUCAGAAAACAGAUAACAAACCUCAAAUUCUUCAGAGAGGACCUGACACCAGAGGACAGAAAAGAUGGGAUCAGGGUGAAGAUGUGUUUUUCACACGAGUUGUGUUCCGGGCCAAGGAUGGACAAACACACCAAUAGAGAGAGGACGGACAGAACCAGCACAUUUGUUUUAUUCAAGAGGAAACCAAAUAGAGCAAAAUGAGCUCCACUUCAAACGUGUCAGAUUCAGGUCCGCAGUUUAAGGUGUCAUAUCCUCGGGGCGUUGGUGGCUUGGUGG